rnacentral:rRNA from 1 species
AUGAAGACUCCCAUUGAGGUUCUCCUUAAUGAACAACCUGAUUAUACCUUUCUCAAGGUAUUUGGGUGUGCUUGCUGGCCGCAUCUUCGUCCAUAUAACAAGCGCAAGCUUGAGUUUCGUUCUAAGAAGUGUGUCUUCCUUGGCUAUAGCUCUCUUCAUAAAGGUUACAAAUGUCUUCAUGUUCCCACUAAUCGUGUCUAUAUAUCUCGGGACGUCGUGUUUGAUGAGCAUGUUUUUCCCUUUGCCAACCUUCCUGUGUCCACUGUCGAACCACCAUCCCUGCAUUCAUCCUCUGUUGCUUCUGACCAAUUUGAUGAUGUUGCACACUCUCCUUUGCUGUUACCUAACCAUGGUGCAGGAACCGGACGUGGAGCUCGUUUGGAGUUGUUGGAGGAUUCACCAUCAUCACCGUCGUCUUCUGGUGGGCACGUCGAUCACCCUAUGUUGCAUGGCAUCGAUUCGCGUGCCCAUGCAUGGUCACCCGACGAGCCCGUCACGCCGAGCAUCUCCACUGCUCGGUCUGCUACGCCAGUGAUCGCCGAGUCUCCAGCGGCUCGGCCUUUUUCACCAGCGGCCGCCGAGUCGCCCGUGGCUCGGCCCGUCACGCCGUCUUCGCCCGCGGCUCGGGUCCUCACGUCGCCUUCAUCAGCGGAUCGGCCCGCGACACCGGCCGCGCCACGGCCCACUAUGCCGAGCUUGCCAUCGGCCCGGUCUGGGAUGCCGGAGUCGCCAGCUGCUUCGUCUGCUCUGCCGGUUUCGCCGGUGGGCCGGCCUUCUUCGCCGACUGAGUCCGAGGCUACCAUGCCUGGCUCCUCGUCACCGGCUGACUCAUCAACGUCGCCGUCCUCCAGCCCGUUGCAGGCUGCUCCGUCGACCUCGGUGGUUCCUGUGUCUCGACCACAUACACGCAGUCGCAGUGGCAUUUUCAAACCUAAGGAACGUACGGAUGGUACGGUUGCUUGGUUGGCUGCUUGUUUGGCUGCUGCUGUUGCGGAUCCAUCUUCUGAGCCUCGCUCAUAUCAGGCUGCCCUGCGCAUUCCACAUUGGCGAGAGGCUAUGGAGCAGGAGUUUCAUGCUCUUCUUCGUAACAAGACAUGGACUCUCGUUCCUCCACCACCACGGGUAAAUGUUAUUGACUCAAAAUGGGUAUUCAAAGUGAAGAAGCAUUCGGAUGGAUCUAUUGAGCGUUACAAAGCGCGACUUGUUGCUCGCGGUUUUCGGCAGCGUCAUGGUCUUGACUAUGAGGACACCUUCAGUCCUGUCGUCAAGCCUACCACUAUUCGGCUUCUUCUCUCCAUUGCUGUUUCUCGUGGUUGGUCACUUCGUCAACUUGAUGUGCAGAAUGCCUUU